rnacentral:rRNA from 1 species
UACGAAGGGAGCUAGCGUUGUUCGGAAUCACUGGGCGUAAAGCGCACGUAGGCGGAUCUUUAAGUCAGGGGUGAAAUCCCAAGGCUCAACCUUGGAACUGCCUUUGAUACUGGGGAUCUCGAGUCCGGAAGAGGUGAGUGGAACUGCGAGUGUAGAGGUGAAAUUCGUAGAUAUUCGCAAGAACACCAGUGGCGAAGGCGGCUCACUGGUCCGGUACUGACGCUGAGGUGCGAAAGCGUGGGGAGCAAACAGG